rnacentral:rRNA from 1 species
UAAGGGCAUAUGACGGAUACCUUGGCAUACAGGCUGAUGAAGGACGUGACUAGCUGCGAUAAGCUUCGGGUAGCUGCUAACAAGCGUUUAACCGGAGAUUUCCGAAUGGGGCAACCUAUAUAGGGUUAUGCCUAUAUAUCCUUAUCUGAACACAUAGGGUAANGAANGGAACCUGGNGAACUGAAACAUCUAAGUAACCAGAGGAAAAAAAAUCAAUUGAGAUUCCCUUAGUAGCGGCGAGCGAAACGGGAAUAGCCCAAACCUUAUAGUUGUAAGUAUGAAGACGUUGACUAUAGGGGGUUGUAGGAUACUUUAUUAUUUUGCUUCAUCAAGAUAGACAAGUUACAAAAAUUUAGCUUAGUAGAAUGUUCUGGAAAGAACUCCCAUAGAAGGUGAUAGGCCUGUAUACGAAAAGUUAAGUUCUUGUCAAAGUAUUCCUGAGUACUACGGGACACGAGAAAUCCUGUAGGAAUCUAGGUGGACCAUCAUCUAAGGCUAAAUACCAUUGUAUGACCGAUAGUGAACUAGUACCGUGAGGGAAAGGUGAAAAGAACCCCGGGAGGGGAGUGAAAUAGAACAUGAAACCAUAUGCUUACAAGCAAUCGGAGGUUUCUUAUGAAACUGACGGUGUGCCUAUUGAAGAAUGUGCCGGCGACUUAAUGUAUGUGGCGAGGUUAAGUAAAUACGGAGCCGUAGCGAAAGCGAGUCUGAAUAGGGCGUUUAGUCUCAUGCAUUAGACCCGAAACCCAGUGAUCUAUCCAUGGGCAGGAUGAAGCGUGAGUAACAUCACGUGGAGGUCCGAACCAGUAAGUGUUGAAAAACUUUUGGAUGACCUGUGGAUAGCGGUGAAAUGCCAAACGAACUGGGAGAUAGCUGGCUCUCCUCGAAAUGACUUUAGGGUCAGCCUUGAGGUUAGGCGCUUGGAGGUAGAGCACUGUUUAGGCUAGGGGUGUCACCAACAUUACCAAACCUAGGCAAACUCCGAAUGCCAAGUUGCUAUACUCAAGAGUGAGUCUUAGGGGGCUAAGCUCCUAGGACAAAAGGGAAACAACCCAGACCGUCAGCUAAGGUCCCUAAAUAUAUACUAAGUGGGAAAGGAUGUGGGGUUACUUAAACAACUAGGAGGUUGGCUUAGAAGCAGCCACCCUUUAAAGAAAGCGUAAUAGCUCACUAGUCGAGUGAUCCUGCGCCGAAAAUGUAACGGGGCUCAAGUAUAUUACCGAAGCUACGGGAUUUUUAUUAAUCGGUAGAGGAGCGUUCCGUAGUAGGUUGAAGUCAAACUGAGAAGUUUGGUGGACGAAGCGGAAGUGAGAAUGUCGGCAUAAGUAACGAAAAAAUAAGUGAGAAUCUUAUUCGCCGAAAGCCUAAGGUUUCCUGGGGAAGGCUCGUCCGCCCAGGGUUAGUCGGUCCUAAGUCGAGGUCGAAAGACGUAGUCGAUGGACAACAGGUUAAUAUUCCUGUACUACCAUUAUUUCGUUAUUAGCGAUGGAGUGACGCAGUAGGAUAGAUCAGCCACUUAUUGGAUUGUGGUUUAAGCUUGUAGGAAGGAAAGAUUGGCAAAUCCGUUUUUCUAUAUUCCGAGAAGUGAAUACGACCUGCUUGCAGGGAAGUGAUUGAUUCCACACUGACUAGAAAAACUUCUAGUGAGAAAUAAAGGUAACCGUACUAAAACCGACACAGGUAGGCAAGUAGAAAAUACUAAGGCGCGCGGGAUAACUCUCGUUAAGGAACUCGGCAAAAUAGCCUCGUAACUUCGGGAUAAGAGGUGCCUAAUUAUUGUGAUCACCCUCGCGGUGUGAGCAAGAAUAGGUUGCAAUGAAAUGGCUCAAGCGACUGUUUACCAAAAACACAGGUCUCUGCUAAACCGUAAGGUGAUGUAUAGGGGCUGACGCCUGCCCAGUGCUGGAAGGUUAAAGGGAGGUGUCAAUCUUUCGAGAUGAAGCACCGAACUGAAGCCCCAGUGAACGGCGGCCGUAACUAUAACGGUCCUAAGGUAGCGAAAUUCCUUGUCGG